GCUGUCAAGUCCGUUCUGCUCAUGCGCGUGUUUUGUUUACAUUUUUUGUUUCAAACAAUAGAUAAUUUAAUUAAAAUUCCGAUCUGUGGUUUGACUAAAUUAUCUAUUGUUUGAAACAAAAAAUGUAAACAAAACACGCACAUGAGCAGAACGGACUUGACAGC